UAUAACGACUCUCGGCAACGGAUAUCUCGGCUCUCGCAUCGAUGAAGAACGUAGCGAAAUGCGAUACUUGGUGUGAAUUGCAGAAUCCCGUGAACCAUCGAGUCUUUGAACGCAAGUUGCGCCCGAAGCCAUCCGGUCGAGGGCACGUCUGCCUGGGCGUCACACACC
rnacentral:rRNA from 2 species